AUUUUGCCGCAGCGUGGGUGAUUAAGGACUUCACAUCUGCGGCUGUGCGCCCGCCAGAAAGUCUAAAUCAAAGUUUCCUCGUGUCAGGUGCGCAUCGGCACCCAUUUCCACCCUUUCAAUAAAGCAGAGAAUUGCUUCCACUGCCCUUGUUUUUUUCCUGAAGAGAAUUCAAGAUACCAUUUACAGCUCUCAGUCUGUGUUCUGGAAAAGAGGGUAGAAGGCCUUAGCACCAGUGUGCCAGCCUUCUGGAAAUGGAACAUAAUUUGCUCAUGCCAAAAAGAUUUUGGUGAGGCUUUGGCAGCUAGCCUAUGUGUCUGUGUCAAGGAUUACACUGCUUAUCACUGAGUCCCGAUACCUAGCCUGACGUGCAACUGCUGGUUUUUAAACUAGAAUACCACUGGCUCUCCUAUGACAACAAGACCCUGGGACUUCUCAGCCUCCACAACUAUGAGAGCCAAUUCCUUAUAUACCACAAAACCUGGUCCUCACUGGAUGGAAGUACAAAUGGAUACUAAAUGGAUACUAUGCAAUAAAGACAUUAUUAGUAUGAACAAAGUGCUUAGUAAUGAAGACGAGAGAAUGAUUGGUUCUGCCUGACAAAUGAGGGUGGAUACUGGUUUCUACUGCCCGAAGUUACUCAACCCUCAUCGUUGUGGUUACAUUUUUACACUAUCCAAGUAUUUGUAGCCAAAGAAGACAUUGAAAAGUGUUCCUGAGAUUGAGGGAAGUAUUUACAACUCAAAAGGGAAGACACUAAGAAUAAAUCAUAAUCUUGAUAAUGAUGUUAAAAGUUUACAUUUUUAACCCUGAAGAGCAGGAAUCCACAAUCUAU